AGAAUAAUUCACAAUGGGCGAAAGCCUGAUGGUGCAACGCCGCGUGGAGGAUGAAGGUCUUCGGAUUGUAAACUCCUGUCAUCGGGGAGCACGACCUGGAGGUGAACAGCCUACAGGGUUGAUAGUACCCGACGAGGCAGGGACGGCUAACUUCGUGCCAGCAGCCGCGGUAAUACGAAGGUCCCAAGCGUUGUUCGGAAUCACUGGGCGUAAAGGGAGCGUAGGCGGCGUGGUAAGUCAGAUGUGAAAUCCCGGGGCUCAACCCCGGAACUGCAUCCGAUACUGCCGUGCUUGAGGGUUGGAGAGGUAGCUGGAAUUCUCGGUGUAGCAGUGAAAUGCGUGGAUAUCGAGAGGAACACUCGUGGCGAAGGCGAGCUACUGGACAACAUCUGACGCUGAGGCUCGAAGGCCAGGGGAGCAAAC
rnacentral:rRNA from 1 species